AUUGAACGCUGGCGGAAUGCUUUACACAUGCAAGUCGAACGGCAGCACGGACUUCGGUCUGGUGGCGAGUGGCGAACGGGUGAGUAAUACAUCGGAACGUGCCCAAUCGUGGGGGAUAACGUAGCGAAAGCUACGCUAAUACCGCAUACGAUCUAAGGAUGAAAGCGGGGGAUCGCAAGACCUCGCGCGAUUGGAGCGGCCGAUGGCAGAUUAGGUAGUUGGUAGGGUAAAGGCCUACCAAGCCGACGAGCUGUAGCUGGUCUGAGAGGAUGAUCAGCCACACUGGGACUGAGACACGGCCCAGACUCCUACGGGAGGCAGCAGUGGGGAAUUUUGGACAAUGGGCGCAAGCCUGAUCCAGCCAUUCCGCGUGCAGGACGAAGGCCUUCGGGUUGUAAACUGCUUUUGUACAGAACGAAAAGGCUCUGGUUAAUACCUGGGGCUCAUGACGGUACCGUAAGAAUAAGCGCCGGCUAACUACGUGCCAGCAGCCGCCGUAA
rnacentral:rRNA from 1 species